rnacentral:rRNA from 1 species
UACGAAGGGGGCUAGCGUUGCUCGGAAUCACUGGGCGUAAAGCGCGCGUAGGCGGACCUGCAAGUCGGGGGUGAAAGCCCGAGGCUCAACCUCGGAACUGCCUUCGAUACUGCGGGUCUCGAGUCCGGGAGAGGUGAGUGGAAUUCCUAGUGUAGAGGUGAAAUUCGUAGAUAUUAGGAAGAACACCAGUGGCGAAGGCGGCUCACUGGCCCGGUACUGACGCUGAGGCGCGAAAGCGUGGGGAGCAAGCAGG